UCGAGGAUCUUCGGCAAUGGGCGAAAGCCUGACCGAGCGACGCCGCGUGUGGGAUGAAGGCCUUCGGGUUGUAAACCACUGUCAACGGGGAGGAAAUGCAGGAGAACACUCCCUCCCGCCUGACCUAUCUGAGGAGGAAGUACGGGCUAAGUCCGCGCCUGCAGCCGAGGCAAGAAGAACCGAACAUACGUUAUUCGGCAGCACUGGGCGUAGAGGGGGCGUAGCCUGCGCGGUCAGCUGGGUGUGAAG
rnacentral:rRNA from 1 species